UCAGGAUGAACGCUAGCUACAGGCUUAACACAUGCAAGGUCGAGGGGCAGCAUGGGAUUAGCUUGCUAAUCCUGAUGGCGACCGGCGCACGGGUGAGUAACGCGUAUCCAACCUUCCCCCUACUCAGGCAUAGCCCGGUGAAAACCGGAUUAACUCCUGAUAGUUUCACUAGAUGGCAUCUGACGGUGAAUAAAGCUCAGCGGUAAGGGAUGGGGAUGCGUCUGAUUAGCUUGUUGGCGGGGUAACGGCCCACCAAGGCGACGAUCAAUAGGGGUUCUGAGAGGAAGGUCCCCCACAUUGGAACUGAGACACGGUCCAAACUCCUACGGGAGGCAGCAGUGAGGAAUAUUGGUCAAUGGGCGCGAGCCUGAACCAGCCAAGUAGCGUGCCAGGAAGACGGCCCUAUGGGUUGUAAACUGCUUUUGUGCGGGAAUAAAGUCAGGGACGUGUCCCUGUUUGCAUGUACCGCAAGAAUAAGGACCGGCUAAUUCCGUGCCAGCCGCAGC
rnacentral:rRNA from 1 species